GAGGCUUUAGUUUAAUAGGUAGAACAUACGACUUUUAAUCGUUAUUAUAUGGGUUCAAUUCCCCUAGGCCUUA